UACGUAGGGGGCAAGCGUUGUCCGGAAUCAUUGGGCGUAAAGCGCGUGUAGGCGGCCCGGUAAGUCCGCUGUGAAAGCCCGGGGCUCAACCCCGGGUCGGCCGUGCGGACUGCCGGGCUGGAGCACUGUAGAGGCAGGUGGAAUUCCGGGUGUAGCGGUGGAAUGCGUAGAGAUCCGGAAGAACACCGGUGGCGAAGGCGGCCUGCUGGGCAGUAGCUGACGCUGAAGCGCGACAGCGUGGGGAGCAAACAGG
rnacentral:rRNA from 1 species